AAAACGUGGAUAGAAUUUCUGUCUUUCAACAGUAUGCAAAAGCUGGAACAACUGUUUCCUUCUUGCUAGCCUACACAGUUCUGGUACUGUACGGAUGCCGCUCUUCUGUUUGUGAUGGUAACGCAUAGUUGGACACACAAGUGAACUGGUAAAGCUCCCAUUAAUUCCUGAAUUAUUAACAAAUACUUGAAACAAUUAGAGCCACUAGGAUAAUCCUAACCACCAUAAAUCUAGAGCUUCUUAAUAUGUGUUUGUGUGAGUGGUUUUUUUUUCCAGCAAACUUAUCUGAUGCUAAAAGAUAAUAAAAAACCACGCAACAAAUGGAACCUCUGUAUAUAUACGCCAACAAAUAUAAAGAAGAGUCUAGUGAUUAGGUUACUCCCUCUGUUCCCCAGAUAAUUCUUACUAUUUAGAAUAAAAAUUGAAUGGUUGAACAGAGAAGUUGCUACCAGGGUGUUGUAUGAAAUGGAGAAAAUAUUACCAGGGAGUUGUGUGAAAUGGAGAAGUUCUGCACCUUAAAUAACCAAGUAGCCGCUUCAUAUUAACAAGGCCGGCUCCACUAUAAGGCCACUAAAGCAAUGGCUUGGAGCCUGACUUUCUUGUUUGGUGGGGGGUGGGGGGAUCUUUCCUAAAGAUGUAUUCCAAUAUAUAUUGUUAAGAAAAUCUUAUGUCCAGUUAAAAUUUGAAAAGAGAAAUGGAAAAGUUUUCAAUGAUCGUAGUAUCCUUUCUUACAUGGCUAACCAUUUUUUUGCCUCAUUUAUAUUUUGAUGAUUUACAUGAACUCACAUUAUUAUUCCUAUAUUUACUUUUUACAUUCCCCUUUCGCAGUAUUUACUCACUUAUUAUUGAACAUUUUGAAGUCCCACAAACGGUCAAAUCUUCUGCAUUAUGCAAAAUCUUUUUUUUUUUAAAUAAAGAUAAUGUUAAAUGUAUUGUUGUUAUUUAACAAAAAAGAUUAAAUUUACUUUUUGGUGUCUUGUUCAAAUUUCAAGCACUGCAACAAGUCAAAAACCAUUUCAAUAUUAUUAUAUCAACUUAUCAAAGUCCGCGCAACACUAUUUUGAUAUCAUUAUAUCAACUUCUCAAAUUCCAGAGCUAGAUUUUAUUGUUCGAACUUUAUAUAAUAUCUUUUGUUGAAAAUCUGCAUCGUUUACAUACUUAUUUCAUAAGGUUUGCAUCUAGAUGUCACAUGUAGAAUUGUUAUUCAAUUUAUAUAUGUCAACUAGAAAAAACUAAGGUUCCUCUAUGAAGUUUGGGCCCCCAAUCUUGUUGAGACUGUGAAAAAUAUUGGAGAAAAUAUUAUUGAAUUGUGUGUCUCAAUUAUACAGAGACCCUAUUUAUAAACACUACAAUGUAAUUCUUUACCAAGUAAGAUACUAUUAACUAUUUAUACUUUUAUUCCUAAUCCUCUUCUAAGUAGGAUCAUAUAUACCUAUUCCUAUUCUAACUAGGAUUCUAACACUCCCCUCGAGUUGAAGCAUACAAGUCAUAUGUACUUAGUUUGUUACAAAUAUAAUUAAUAUGAGGUCCGGUAAGGAACUAGGUGAAGAUAUCUGCAAGUUGAUCACUUGACUUCACAAUUCUUUUGUAACAAUAUCUCCUGGGACUAUAUUUUUCUUGACAAAAUGAUAAUCAAUCUCAAUGUUCUUAGUCCUCUCACGAAAUACUAAAUUUGAUGCGAUAAGAAGGCUCGCUUGAUUAUCACACACAAGUUCUAUCUAAUAGAUUGCUCCAAAUUUUAGUUCUCCCUUUGAGCCAAACUAGCUCACAAGUUGCUACAGCCAUUGCUCGACAUUCUGCUUUUGCACUCGAUCGAGCAACCACACUAUGUUUCUUACUUUUUUCAGGACACCAAAUUACCUCCUGCUAAAACACAAUAUCCAGAUUAGAAUGUCUAUCAGAGGGUGAUAUUGCCCAAUCAGCGUCUAUAUAUCCAAUGAUAUGCUCAUAGCCUUGAUUCUCGAAGAGUAAUCCUUUACUUAGAGCUGACUUUAUAUAUCUUAAAAUGUGAAUUGCAUCUCAAUGACUAUUAUAUGUGGAAGUCAUAAACUGACUUACAACACUCAUGCCAAAAGAGAUGUCAGGUCUAGUCACGAUGAGAUAAUUCAAUUUACCAACCAGCCACCUAUACCUUCCAUGAUCACUAAGUGGCUUCACCUAUUGUGGCGAGAGUUUAGCAUUCGGAUCUAUAUGAGUGUCAAUUGAGCUACUACCAUCAUUUUUGUCUCCUUGAGAAUGUCUAAGUCAUAUUUGCGUUUAGACAUAACAAUACCUAAUUUAGACUGAGAAACUAUAAUACCUAUAAAAUACUUUAAUCUGCCAAGGGUCUUUCGUCCAAAAAUGCUGAAAAAGAUGUUUCAAACUAGUAAUACCUUCUUGAUCAUUGCCAGAGAUAACAAUAUUGUCAACAUAGACCACCAAAUAAAUACACAAAGUUGGUGAAAAAUGUCGAUAAAACACAUAAUGAUCAGCUCCACUACGAGUCAUGUCAAACUCCAAAAUUACUACUGAAUUUACCAAACCAAGCUCAAGGAGGUUGUUCCAGACCAUACCGCGCAAUCAACAUACAAGGUUACUAGGCUCCGCCUAGCAACAAAACUAAGUGGUGCUCCAUAUAGACUUCUUGCUCAAGAUCAUCGUGAAAGCAUUCCUAAUGUCUAACUGAUGAAGAGGCCAAUGAUGACCUAAAGCUAUAGAUAGAAAAAGACGUAUAGAUGCUACUUUAGCCAUGGGAGAGAAAGUGUCACCAUAAUCUAGCCCAAAUAUUUAAGUAUACCCUUUGGCAACAAGGUGAGUCUUAAGCCGAUCAACUUGAACAUCAGGACCAACUUUGACUGCAUAAACCCAACGACAACCAACAGCAGAUUUACUUGUAGGAAGCUAUGUGUCUCAGAUUCACCAAAAGUAGUUUAUUUUUGGAGAACCCGACACGGGUACAACAUCAAAAGUGAAGAGUCCGUGCAACUAAGGUAGGAAGGGAAACAAGCUCCCAAGUACCACUCGUAUGUAAAGCAGACAUUUCAUCAAUCACAGUCUACCUCCAUCUUGGAUGAGAAAGUGUUUCACCUAGACUGCCUCCAUCUUGGAUGAGGAAGUGUUUCACCUAAACUGCCUCCAUCUUGGAUGAGAAAGUGUUUCACCUGUGGUCUUAGGAAUGAAUGUAGAAGAUAGAGAUGAUAUAAAGGCAUAAUGAAGUGAUGAUAGAUGAUGAAUAACUCAAGAAAGUAUAAUGCGGGGUAGCAUUUCGAGUGGAAAGUAUACCCUUUUGAAGUGCAAUUGGUUAGCUAGGAUAAGGCAACUCAAAAGUAGGAAUAAGGUUUGACGCAUAACAUGAAUCAUCAGGGACUAAUGUUGGACACAAAUGACAAUGAUAAGUUAGGAGCUAUGGCGUUGCAGCGGGCGACAUAGAAGCAACCGUAGAGUCCUCAAAAUUUGGUACAUGUAAGAACUGAGGUAUGGACACGGGAGACAUAGAAGUAACAAUACUCCUCAAAAGUUGGUAUAGGUAAGAUGUGAGGUAUGGGUAAGACUUCAGCGACAUCAACAUAAUCAGAAGAUGAAUAGUAAGGUUGAGAUUCAAAGAAUGUGACAUCGGCAGACAUAAGGUUGCGACAAAGAUCAGGUGAAUAGCAACGAUACUCUUUUUGAGCUCAAAAGUAAUCAAGAAUAGUUAAGUUAGCGAUUAUGAUUAAACCAUAAGUGCUUGAUCAUCUUAACAACACGAAAUGUUUAAGUUAGUAAUUAUCAUUCUACUACUUAAAUUUUCCAUGCUCUCGAUACUAGUCAAGAACUUUCAUUUCCUAUGCACAACAUUUUCAUUCUCAUAAACUGGGUUUAAAAGCACAAAAGAAUAUCAAUAUCAAUCAUUAUAGUGAGGAAAGCUUAUACUAUCUAUGAACUGCAGAUUUACAGAAAGGGGUGAUUACCAGAUCAAAGGUUUUUACCAGGCCUGUCAUCUGAAGAGUUGUUAGUGGGUGCACUCUCUACAUGAACAAAUGUUUGAAUAGUUUUAGAUUCCUUAAGUUUUGAUAUUCUAUGUACAUAGAUCGAAUAGUUUGUACAACCACUUGAAAGUUUGGGAUGCAUUUCAGAACACAGACAUGAAUGUAAAUUAUUGUUGGCUAUCUCGCAGCAAGAUUGUCAGUAUUUGAUGAUCUCGGGAUUUUUGCAGAUAUGUAACAUGAGAUAAAAUAUGCAUCAACAAGCAGUCAAAUUUGAUCAACAGAUGGAGAUUAAAUAUGCUCCAACACAGAGUCAGCAUAGAUAGAAAUGAGAGAUCAAGUACACAAAGCUAUACACUUUCUUAAUCAAAAAAAGAAAAUUUAAGUACAGAAAAACUGAAGGACAUUAAUCAGAAAAAAGAAAACAGACGCAGACAAAAUAUUACCUCC
rnacentral:lncRNA from 1 species